UUCUGCAUAAGGCUGAGCACCGCCUUUCAUAUGUUGCACGGGCCGCGCACCGCCCUUUGAAAAUUUCUGCAUAAGACAUCGCACCGCAUCUGCCUUGUUUUAUUAUUGUUUUCUUAAUGCCCCUGCGUAUGCUCGCAGCCGCAUUGCACCGCACCUGUAUUUCUUUAUUGUUUUCAAAUGCCCCUGCAUAUGCUCGCAGCCGCAUUGUACUGCACCUGCAUUGUUUUAUUGUUUUCAAUUGCCUCUGCGUAUGCUCGCAGACGCAUUGCACCGUAUCUGCAAUUGUUUGUUUUAAAUGCCCUGCGUAUGCUCGCAGACGCACUGCACAUACAUUGCAUCAUUGCUUUGCGAAUGCUCGCAAACACUGCACAUGCAUUGCAUUAUCACUUUCAGAUACCCUUCAAACGCAUUGCAUCAUGCCGGCUUAAAAAAGGGCGUUACAUAACACGAUCGUUCUUCAUCCUACACUUGCUAGGACCAUUCUAACAACACUGGGGCAAAAUUUUGAUUGGACGUUCAAAAUUUGCCACAACAUCCAUUAGUUAUCACCUUUCGAACUACAUUGACCUGAUUCUCGUGAUUGACGAGAUAUGUAGGAAGCUCUAUGCAGAGUUCGGUCACAUCGGGACGAGAAUCAUUCUUUCCCCAGCUAGUAUACAAUCCUUCCCUUUUUAUCAUUUUUUCUUUUUAUCGCAACCUUGCCGACGGACUGAGAGUAUUGUCAAAGCUCUACCAACGUCUGGCCUCUUUCUCCGUACAUAUCCUUUUAGCAAUUCUUUGUCAAGCCAAAAUAGGCUAAAUGUCAACGUCUUCGUCCGAAAACUCUUUCAUCGUCUCCGGUCGAAGAGGGACAAGUUGUUGACACCUAAUUUUGGCUCGACGUGCUUAAAAUUAACGUUUGGGGGGGGCCCUGAUUCGUUAAAAAGCACGAAAUACAUUUUUUACAAAUUUUUACAUUUUUUCAACAAUUUAUUGAUGAUUAUCCUUAUUUUAGGAAUUUUCUCAAUUUAUUGUCAUUUUUUCAAGAAUCAUUAUUUUGCACAUGUACAGCGUGAUACUACAAUUUUUUGUGCAAUUAAUAAUUGUUUCUUAAUUUUAUAGCAAUACAUUUUCAUAUCAUAGACAUUAAUGUUUAUAUUUUACACUUGCGUUAUUAUUUAUACAUGAAUUAAUUAACUAUAUUUUAGUACAGUCUGACAGUGCAGAGAAAAUCGGAGUAAUUAAUUUUUAAACACGGAGUAAAAUCCGAUCAAGUCAAGGUUUCAUCACUUUUUUUUUAAAAGGGAUUAAAAUAAGCAUUGAGGGGACAAAGGGGUGCAUUCUUUUAUUUUUUGGACAAAAGAGGGUGUUCAUUGAUAUUAUAAGAAAGGGUGGGGUUAAAUUUUAUUUUUUCAUCCUUUGUCUUCAUUCUAUACAUCUACACAACACUUACACAUACAGACACAAGCACAACACAGAUUUUUUCUCUCUCUCUCAAAACAUUUUUUCUCUCCCCUCUCUCUUCUGAAAAACAAAACCCUAAACAUUUCCCUCUCCUCACACCUCUCUUUCCAGCCGCCGCCGCUCUCUACGAGCUCCGGCGAACUCCGUCACACCCCUCUUCACCCCACUGCCCCACUUCGUUUCCCUCUCACUCCUCCCUCUCCAUAAAAACCUAAACAUUUUUAUUUCCUCUACUUCGCACAACAGCCGCCGCCGCCAGCCCCUCCACGCCGGAGCUCCGAGCUCCGGCGAACAGAAAACCCACCACGAAACCACCAGCCCGCACACCACGUUGCUGCUAUCUUCCUCUCCUCUCUAACGAUUUUUUUUGUUUUGUUUUGUUUUUGUGUGUAUCUUAUGUAUUUUUUAUCUUCUUUUCGCUUCACAAAUAUCACUCGGAGUUAAAAUAUAUGUAAAGUUUCAAUCUUGGUGAAAAAAAAAAAAAAUCAGAAAGUUUGAAUCUUUACUGGGAAAAAAAAAGAAUGAGAAAGAUUGAAUUUUUACUGGAGGUUUGAUUUCUUAUUGAUUGUUGAGUGUGGCUAGUAUUGCAAAGAAAUUUGAAUAGAGGUGCUCGAAUUUUUACAUCCACAUGAAGUUCCUUUUUUAGGGUAAUGUUGUAGUUGCUGUUUUACGGAUGGAUGGUUUACUGAAGUUUGGUGUCUUAUUGAUUACUGAGUGGUAGUAUUUCAAAGAAUUUGAAUAGAGGUGCUAGAGUUUUGACAUAAAAAGGAAGUCCUUUUAGGGUAAUAUUGUAAAAUCGCUGGUUUUUGAAUGGAUAGUUAAUGAAGAAGUUGGAGUUAUCUAUUCCAAGAUGAGUUCUUGGUGGCAAAGAAAUUGAUGUUUUGAUGGAAAAAGGGGUUUAUUCACAAAUAAUUUUGUGGCUUUUGUGAAGUGUUACUGCAAAUAACUUAAGGUUUGGUGUACUAGAACAUGGCUUCUGAAAUUGAAAAGUCAAAGAAAGCACUCAUUUGUUGCGAUAAGGUUAAUAGCAAGUCGACUCAUGACUAUUUGUUAUGGCCGAUGAAGAAAUUUUCGUCGAUUUCCAAGGCCUUCCAUGUACAAAGACGAAUUUUUAUUUUAAGUUUAUUUAUUAUUUUUUAAUUCAUCCGAUAAUUAUUUAUUUUCUUACUAACAUAAAAUAUAGUGAAACUUUACUUUUUAGGGUGUAGGCUAGUGGUAUUUAUUUAUGAUCUGCUUAGGUGAUUUAAAUUUUAUGUGUUUUAGAUAAAUUAAUAUUAGACAGUUAUUAUUUUUGUAGUUAAUAUUCUGAUAGUUAUCAUGUUUCGCUAGAGUUUUAAUUCAAUAGCUUAGCACACUUAAGUGAAUAAAUAGGGUGAUUUGCCUCAAUAUUUAGGCUUUAGAAUGUACUCUCAUAAUUAAUUGAUUAGGCGUACAUACUUAACUAGUUAAAUUAGUUAACUCACUUCGAGUGCAAAAUAAUUUCAUGUCCAUUUUCUUUUUAUACUUUUGUCACAUACCCAAGUUUCUAAGUUGCACAUAACCUUUUUAAAAAAAAAGUAAUUAUUAUAUCACAUAUGUAAAAAAUACAUAUUGCACGAUUAUUUAUGUGAAUAGUCAUAUUAGUUAUUCUUUAGUCUAAAUUCUACUAAUUUUUGUAAGUAAUAAUCAAGCCUUUUUACACAUCCCUCGAAUAGUUAAAUUGGUCCAGCCGGGAACCACAUUUGUGGAUUCUGAAGGAUGCCUAACACCUUCCCUUCGGAAUAAUUUGAACCCUUACCUAGAAUCUCACUUAUUUUCGUAGACCAUGUUAAGCUGCAUAUAUUAAUAAUUUAUAGGUACCCUAGUAUACCUUAAAUGCUAGGUGGCGACUCUGUACAUAAUUAAUUAUUUCAAAUCCAUAAGUUGUGCUUUGUUUAGCCUUGGUAAAAAAUAAGGUGCAACGGUAGAGAUAAUGGCUCAUGACAGAUUUAUUUCUUGCAAGAUAUUGAGUGCUAGCUUUUUAUGCCCUUUGCUCAAGUCCGAAUGCACUAAUUCAUAAUUAGAUGUUGUGAUUGUUUCGGAUUAGGAAUAUGUGAUUUAUCUUUCUCUCUGUUGUUUUAUUGACAUUGAUAAAGUAAUACCAUCUAGAUCUUUAUUCUGGUUUUGGAUCACUUUUGCAUAGCAAACUGGGGACAUGGUAAUUUGAGAACAAAACCAGUUACGCUGCCUAUAAAGGGAACAACUAGACUAUUGGCUUGAAAAAGGGACUCGUUAAAGAACUUGGAUGAAUGGCAAGAUAACUUUGCCAAAAUAGGUGGAUGAAAGAAGCCUUGGAAAUGUUAGUAAGUCGCCUCACAAUUUGCGACUUGCAUCAUUUGAUGGGAGAUGGGGAAAAGAUGAAACAAUUGAAGAUGCAGCAUAGUGUGAGACAGUGAAGGAAGCUGGAGUACGAGGCGAUGUUAAGUGCAAGUGGGAGAGGAAGAUGGUACAUUGAGAACAAAACCGGUGACAUUGCCUGUAAAUGGCACAUGUUUCCUUUCUUAGUAACAGAGCAGCUGGACUCUUGGCCUGAGAAAGAGAUUUGUGAGAUUAUUGUAAGUGGUUCUGACGAUUUUCACUCUUUUUGGUUUUGGAUCACUUUUGCAGUGUAAAAUAGGAAGAUGGCUUUUUUAGAACAAACCCGGUGACACUGCCUAUGAAGGGCAAAUGUUUCCUCUGUUUGCAACAGAACAACUAGACUAUUGGCCUGAGAAAGGAAUUCGCGAAAGAACCUGGGUAUGGAAUAAUUCAUUCUUUCUAAAUUUCAUUUUGAUAUAUAUUCACACUUCCGUUUGCUGACAAGUAGCUUGUCCAAAAACCAAUUACAAAUGAAUGUAAGCGAAGCAAGAAAAUUUUGCCCAAAUUGGGCUGCAGAGCUAUUCGUAAUUUGACUCACAUCACAAAGCAAACAGACCAAAGAAAAACUAUUUCCAGGAACAGAAUGUAGCUCCAGUGUUCGAGCAGCUAUUCUUGCUUUAGGAUAUAGAGCUCCAAUACUUUUUCUGCCACUAGCAAGUUCUACUGAUAAAGUGUAGAGUUUAUUGAACCAAUCCACUGUCAAAUCUACAUGUGGUUGAAAUAGUGGAUAGGAACUAAUUACUAAAACUGGUGAAUCUAGCAGGUGGUUUAAGUAGUCCAGAGCAACUCCAGUGUUAAGGGAACAACAAAAAAAAAAGUACUAGAAGUGUAAUUUUUGUUAUCUCAGAAUUGGAGUUGUGUGAAUAAUAGAGAAUUAGAAUCAGAGUUAUCAUAGGAGACAAACAUGUACAUAGCUAUUAGAAACAUUGAUGCUGGAAAAUAACUGCAUCGAAAUAUUGAACCUAGAUUGCUAGCAUUAUUUAGUUCUUCAUAUUGCUGGCAAAGCUAGAAGGUUACAGUCAUUUAUCAUAGCAUUCAAAAGGUCAAAGAGGUUUUAAUUUUGCUGGAAUGUUACGCACUCAUAUGAUAAAGGAGUUGCAUAGGUUUUUUUUUAAUACCAAGUUUACUCUGCAAACCAUGAUUUUGCAUUUUUAAGGAUCAAGUUCACUCUGCAAGACAUUGUUUUGCAUUUUUUAGUACCAAGUUCACUCUGCAAGACAUUAUUUUGCAUUUUUUAGUACCAAGUUUUAGAUUUUUGUUAUAAAUAUCCAACUAGUGGAUAUCCAUUAAUUUGAAAAUAUCUCAAAAUAUUCCAAAAUAUCUCCAUUGUAUGUUGCUCCUAUAAAUAGGAUGCACAGAUGCAAUGUUGAAAGAGCAGAAGUAAUAUAAUCUGAUAUCUCUCUACAUAUUUCUUCUGUGUAUUUACUUCAUAGUUAUUAUUUUAUAACACGUUAUCAGCACGAGACUCUGUUAUCUCGAGCAAAUACUUCAAAACCUCGAAGGUAUUGAUUUCUUCGUUUUCCUUUACUAAUGGCAAAUCUUACUAAAUGUGAAUUUGUAGCCUUAGAUAUAUCGGGUAAUAGCUAUAUGUCUUGGAAUUUUGAUGCCGAGAUUCACCUUAAUGUGAUGGGUCUGGAAGACACCAUCAAAGAUAAAAAUGAGGCAUCAAACCAAAACCGUGCUAAGGCAAUGAUAUUCCUCCACCGUCAUCUUGAUGAGAAUUUGAAAAUGAAAUAUCUCACGGUUAAAGAUCCUCUUACGCUGUGGAAUGAUCUGAAAGAUAGAUAUGAUCACCUAAAGAUGGUCAUACUUCCACAAGCACGUUUUGAUUGGCUCCAUUUAAGGUUCCAAGACUUUAAAUCUGUUAAGGCAUAUAAUUCUGCAAUGUUUAAAAUUAUUUCUCAAUUGAAAUUAUGUGGUGAAAAUAUUACUGAAAAUGAUAUGCUAGAGAAAACAUUCUCCAUUUUUCCUGCCUCGAGUAUGCUCCUGCAGCAGCAAUACCGAGAGAUAAAAUUCAAGAAAUAUGCUGAUCUAAUCUCACAUCUUCUAGUGGCUGAAUAACAUAAUGAAUUACUGAUGAAAAAUCAUGAAAGCCGACCCACUGGUACUGCCCCAUUCCCUGAAGUGAAUGAGGCAAGUUUUCGCCAUUCUAGGCGUGGAAGAGGUCGUGGCCCAAGUCGUCGUCAUGGUCGUGGUCGAGGAAGAAAUUUUAAUCAUGAUUCUCGUUUUGCAUCAUAUAAUACCCUUCACCACCAGCAGUGUAAAAGGAAGGAUGAAAAGCAUGAAGCUGUGCAAAAGAAAAAUUCAGAAAAUAAAUGCUUCCGAUGUGGGGGAAAAGGGCAUUGGUCACGUACCUGUCGUACGCCAAAGCACCUAGUUGAUUUGUAUCAAGCCUCCCUCAAAAGGGCAGAAAAUGAUGCCGAAGCAAAUUUUAUUUCUGAAGAUAAUGUUGAGCCUAUGCAUUUAGAUGUCGCAGAUUUCUUUGAAAUCCCUGAAGGAAAAAUAGAUCAUCUGAUGAUGGAUCUAUAUUAACUUAGAUAUUUCAUACAUGUCGUUUGUAUUAGCUAAUGUGGUUAUGUUUCCAUAUAUAAGUAAUAAAGUGUGUGUAAUACUUUGUCUAAUCAAAAUAUCU